rnacentral:lncRNA from 1 species
UCAAACAUAUUCAAAUUAGAAUCGCUUAAGGUGUCUUUACUUUCUGAAUUUGUUUUAUGAUUAUUGAUAGAUUUUCAACACUAUAAAAAAAGAAUCUAUAUAUGAUCAAACAAUCAUUUAACAAAUUAUCUCACAUGUUUUAUGACCAAAAUUAAACUAACUUAAAAGUAAAUAUAUCAUUGAAUAUUCAACAUGCAUAUGUUUUCGGUUUUCACCAAUAUUUUUGAAAGAUCGCUAAAAUAGUAGGGGCAAUAAAACUAAUUUAUUCAACAAUUGCUAACAAAAACUAUUUGG